GAAAAGAGGAUCUAGGAUCCAGUUGGUGCAGCUUAUGGCUUGUCCCUGUGUGUAUAGUUGUUAAAUUAUUCUUUUAUUUUUAUUUUUAAGAAGUUAUUCUUUAGAUAAUAAUAGGCAUGUAGCUUAAAAGGAAACCUCAAAAGACACAAAGGAUUUGUCUCAUUUUAAAUUAAAAAAAUACUGUAUCAGCAUCAAGUAAUUAAACAUUUGUUGGAAUAUCAUAACUUCUUUUUUCUUUAUUGUAUGUUCCCUUUCCUGUGCUUACGUAUUUUCAGAAAUUUUAGUUGGUGUGCAUACCACAAUUUGUAUUUUAUACUUAAAUAUACAUUUCAUGGUUGUAUAUUUAUUUGAUCAAGUUCUUUUAUAUCAAAUAACAGAGCUUGGCAUUUGGUUGCUUGCUCAUAACUCGGCAGUAAGCAUUUUUAAGCAUGAAGUUAUUCUUUGGUUGAAUUUUAUUCUUGAUAUGGGGCUUAGGAGUGAGAUUUCUGGUCUACAGAAAUGAUCAUGCUCAUGAAUUUUGACAUUUAUCGUCAUGAUGCUUUGCACAAGGGCUGCACCAAUUUAGAUCAUCUUUAGCGGUGAAUGAGUGGAUUAAUUUUACUACAACUACUGAUGGUGGUGGUGGAAUUUCAGUUGCUUUUUUUUGCGAGGUUAAUAGGUCUAAAAUUUUACUUUUGUUUGAUGACUAGUGGUUUGAAUUUUUCGCUGCCUGUUAUAUUGCUUGUAUACUUUGCCUGUUUGUGUCACUGUCCUUUUGGAUUGGAGUCAUACUGUUUUUUUUUGUUUAUUUUAACUUAUCUGUAUAAAACAUUGUAUUCAAAACUA
rnacentral:lncRNA from 10 species